CCCUUAGAUGUUCUGGGCUGCACGCGUGCUACAAUGGCGCUUGCAACAAGUCUUGCCAACCCGAUAGGGUGAGCGGAUCUUUGAAGAGGCGUCGUGAUCGGGACAGUUGAUUGCAAUUAUUAGACUCGAACGAGGAAUUCCUUGUAAUCGCGAUUCAUCAUAUCGCGCUGAAUACGUCCCUGCCCUUUGUACACACCGCCCGUCGCUCCUACCGAUUGAGCGAUCCGGUGAAUGUUUUGGACUGGCGUCAGAAGCGGUUCGCUCCUGACACUACGAAAUUUUGUAAACCUUAUCGCUUAGAGGAAGGAAAAGUCGUAACA
rnacentral:rRNA from 1 species